rnacentral:lncRNA from 1 species
AGCAGUUUGGUCUCCAGAAGUGUAGCUUCUCCCUGAAUCCUCUGUGGAGCCCGUUUCUCUAAAAGGACUGCUUGUUUGACCUCAGUGGGAGAGGUUUUGCCUAGUUCUGCAGUGGCCUGAUGAGCCGGAGUCUCUUAGAAAUUUCAAGACUGCUGGUGCACCUUCACCCAUGAGUGUAGACACACCCUUCUCACAUGAAUGGAUGGAUCAGUGCUCAGGAAGCAUUGCACCAGCUGGCAAAGGGGAAGAAGGUUCCAUGGGCCCAACUCCAGCAUCCUACAGCAGGUGAAGAAAGGUAGAUCUGAAGAGUUAAUAAACUGACAACUGGAAGAGGUGACAAGAGAGGCGGGGAUGUGCCAUUCUCAUGGCUGCGCACACUUAAACAUGGUAAGAUGAACUUCACAGUUUAGUCCCACUGUGUGUCUCCUGAGCUGUGCUCUCC